rnacentral:rRNA from 1 species
AUGAACGCUGGCGGCGUGCUUAACACAUGCAAGUCGAACGAAGCACUUUAUUUGAUUUCCUUCGGGACUGAUUAUUUUGUGACUGAGUGGCGGACGGGUGAGUAACGCGUGGGUAACCUGCCUUGUACAGGGGGAUAACAGUUGGAAACGGCUGCUAAUACCGCAUAAGCGCACAGCAUCGCAUGAUGCAGUGUGAAAAACUCCGGUGGUAUAAGAUGGACCCGCGUUGGAUUAGCUAGUUGGUGAGGUAACGGCCCACCAAGGCGACGAUCCAUAGCCGACCUGAGAGGGUGACCGGCCACAUUGGGACUGAGACACGGCCCAAACUCAUACGGGAGGCAGCAGUGGGGAAUAUUGCACAAUGGGCGAAAGCCUGAUGCAGCGACGCCGCGUGAGCGAAGAAGUAUUUCGGUAUGUAAAGCUCUAUCAGCAGGGAAGAUAAUGACGGUACCUGACUAAGAAGCACCGGCUAAAUACGU